GCGGCCACCGAAGUGGAGAGCUGAGUGUUUUUGCCUUUCUGGGGGUCCUGGCGGGCUUUCUGUGUCGUCAGAAGGCCACCAGCAGCCCCUCGGGGUGCCCGAGGUCGCUGGUGUUCCUGACCCUGUUUGGGGUUAAGCUGGGCUGCUUCUCUUAGGUGUAGAGGAACUCAGCCAACUACCAUCUAAGACCUGUCAUUACCCUGAAAGCAUUAUGUUGUGAAAAACCCAUGUGGAGAAGAUCUGGAAGAUGAGACAUUUCAUAGAGAAGUGAAGAAGCAACAAGGACAGAUCUCAGAGUGAAAAAGUCGCUUGGGAAAUGGACCUGCCAGCCUCAGCAGCCCCGUGUUGCCAUUAAAUCAGCUGUAAAUCAGUACAGCAAAUAAAAUAAUUUGUUCUAAGCUUU